GGGUCGUUAGCUCAGUUGGUAGAGCAGCGGACUUUUAAUCCGUUGGUCGUGGGUUCGAGUCCCGCACGACCCACCA
rnacentral:tRNA from 6 species